UUCUUCCCUUAUCUGCUUCAGAUAAUUUCUAAACAGCUCUGCUUCCUUUUGAGAUUCAGGACUCACAAAAAGACCAGGAAAUGGAAAUCCAGAUUCUCCAGGCACAGGAACCUUUUCCAGACCCAAAAAAAUUAAUUAUUGCUUUGGCCCCUUCAGCCAAUGUUCUACAUCCUUCAAGCCUCUUCAAAGCCACAUUGAUAUAGAAAGUCAAAUAAAUAAGAAGCUUAUCAGCU
rnacentral:misc_RNA from 1 species